CCUACGGGAGGCUGCAGUGGGGAAUAUUGGACAAUGGGGGGAACCCUGAUCCAGCCAUGCCGCGUGUGUGAAGAAGGCCCUCGGGUUGUAAAGCACUUUCAGUGAGGAAGAACGCCUGGUGGUUAAUACCCAUCAGGAAAGACAUCACUCACAGAAGAAGCACCGGCUAACUCCGUGCCAGCAGCCGCGGUAAUACGGAGGGUGCGAGCGUUAAUCGGAAUUACUGGGCGUAAAGCGCGCGUAGGUGGCUUGAUAAGCCGGUUGUGAAAGCCCCGGGCUCAACCUGGGAACGGCAUCCGGAACUGGCAAGCUAGAGUGCAGGAGAGGAAGGUAGAAUUCCCGGGGGAGCGGUGAAAUGCGUAGAGAUCGGGAGGAAUACCAGUGGCGAAGGCGGCCUUCUGGACUGACACUGACACUGAGGUGCGAAAGCGUGGGUAGCAAACAGGAUUAGAUACCCCUGUAGUC
rnacentral:rRNA from 1 species